GAGUGGCAUCAGGAUGUCUGAGAGGAGAGCAUGGUGUUUUUGCUUCAUUGGAUCCAUGCAGGUCUUGGAGGGUGGUGGCCCACUCUUUCUGGGCCAAGUAGAGGGUGGCUCAGACACCCCCCCUUCCUCCAGGCUUCUCAUCUGUAACUGGUGAAGCCCGGAAGAGCUUGUUGUUCAAGAGGAAAUCUUGUGUUACUUCUUUAUGAAGGACUCCAGCCUGGUGGAGAUGAAUGAGUCCUGAAGAUGGAAUCGAAGCUGUUUGGGCACAAUACUUUAAUCAGCAUUUAAUGACCCAGUCGAAAAUUCAUUGUUUGGACCCAAGCACUGGUGGGAAAGGCAGGAGGGGAGGCCUGCCUUCCUUCCUCCCUCCCGAGCCCUACAGCAGGCCAUGGAGUGGUGAGCGAGUUCGUACAGUGCCAACCACAUUCCCAGAAACUUCCAGCAGAGGUUAAUCCUGCUCCUCUCAGGUGGGCUUGGCCCAUUCUCUAGACUUUGGAAGGUAAUGUUCUAUAGAGGCCUGUUCUGAAGCUUUACCAGGUCAAACCGGAGAAGAACCCAACAAGUAACUCAUCCCAGCCUAACUAUUCUUCAAGGGCAAUCAACCUACAGCAUCCAAGCACAGAGAAAUCAAAUCCAUGGAGAAUCUUCAAAUUAGGCUCAGAAUCCAUUUGGGUCAAUGAAUUUACUGUUAUUAAGAUCUUAGUUGUGUUCAACCAUGAUUUGACAUACCUUAGAGUGAGAAGAUA
rnacentral:lncRNA from 1 species